rnacentral:rRNA from 1 species
UAGCCUGAGCAGCACGCCGCGUGACGAUGAAGGUCUUCGGAUCGUAAGUUCUGUUGCAGGGGAAGAUAAUGACGGUACCCUGUGAGGAAGCCCCGGCUAACUACGUGCCAGCAGCCGCGGUAAUACGUAGGGGGCUAGCGUUAUCCGGAUUUACUGGGCGUAAAGGGUGCGUAGGUGGUCCUUCAAGUCGGUGGUUAAAGGCUACGGCUCAACCGUAGUAAGCCGCCGAAACUGGAGGACUUGAGUGCAGGAGAGGAAAGUGGAAUUCCCAGUGUAGCGGUGAAAUGCGUAGAUAUUGGGAGGAACACCAGUAGCGAAGGCGGCUUUCUGGACUGCAACUGACACUGAGGCACGAAAGCGUGGGUAGCAAACAGGAUUAGAUACCCUGGUAGUCCACGCUGUAAACGAUGAGUACUAGGUGUCGGGGGUUACCCCCCUCGGUGCCGCAGCUAACGCAUUAAGUACUCCGCCUGGGGAGUACGCACGCAAGUGUGAAACUCAAAGGAAUUGACGGAGCU